rnacentral:rRNA from 1 species
GACGAACGCUGGCGGCGUGCUUAACACAUGCAAGUCGAACGGAAAGGCCCUGCUUGCAGGGUACUCGAGUGGCGAACGGGUGAGUAACACGUGGGUGAUCUGCCCUCCACUUCGGGAUAAGCCUGGGGAACUGGGGCUAAUACCGGAUAUGAGCCAUCUUUAGUGUGAUGGUUGGAAAGUUUUUUCGGUGUAGGAUGAGCUCGCGGCCUAUCAGCUUGUUGGUGGGGUAAUGGCCUACCAAGGCGGCGACGGGUAGCCGGCCUGAGAGGGUGGACGGCCACAUUGGGACUGAGAUACGGCCCAGACUCCUACGGGAGGCAGCAGUGGGGAAUAUUGCACAAUGGGCGCAAGCCUGAUGCAGGGACGCCGCGUGGGGGAUGACGGCCUUCGGGUUGUAAACUCCUUUCGCUAGGGACGAAGCUUUUUGUGACGGUACCUAGAUAAGAAGCACCGGCUAACUACGUG